rnacentral:rRNA from 1 species
AAGACGGUAAUAGAGGGAUUGCUAGGUUUGAGUAGAGAUGAAGGACGUGGCAAGCUGCGAUAAGCCCGGGGUAAGCGCACGCGACUUAUGAUCCCGGGAUGUCCGAAUGAGAAUCUUAUGUUUACAUACUCCGUUACAUAGGUGGCGGAGGUCGAACCGUCGGAAUUGAAGCAUCUUAGUACGACGUGGAAGAGAAAUCAAUAGAGAUUACCCAAGUAGUGGCGAACGAAAAGGUAACAGCCCAAACUGAAUCUGUUAUGGUAACUUAACAGAGAUGUGGUGUAUACGGACUCAUAUAAUGAUCCUAGAACGUAGUUGAAAUAAUCUGGAACGUUUUGGCAUAGAGGGUGAUACCCCCGUAGACGAAACGGUAUAGGAUCAGUUGAGUACCAGAGUAGAUGUCCUUGGUAGUGGGCAUCGAAUAUUAGGAGAAAGUAGCUUCUAAGGCUAAAUAUAACUCAAAACCGAUAGUGCACUAGUACCGUGAGGGAAAGCUGAAAAGUACCCCGGAAGGGGGGUGAAAAGUGCAUGAAAUCUAUUACUUACAGACGUGCAUAGCAUGAAAGGUGAUUUUUCCUUAUUGGAGGUUCUAGCAAUAGAGCUAAAGAUUUGGAGCUCAAAUCGUCAGUGUUAUGCGUUCCGUCUCGAAACACGGGCCAAGGAGCUGACUGUCAUGGCAAGACUAAACCAGACAAGGUGGAGUCGAAGGGAAACCGAGUUCUCGCAGCAUUAGCGAGGAGAAGCGUGUGAAAGUGCGUUGAGUCAUGGCGGCCAGGCUAGAAGCCAGUCGAUCUAAUCCUGAGCAAGCUGAAGGCGGGCGAAAGCCCGCUGGAGGGCUGAAGCAGUUCUGACGUGCAAAUCGUUUGUGUGACUUGGGAUUAGGGGUCAAAAACCAAUCUAGACUGGCGAUUGCUAGUUCCAACCGAAGCGUCUCGUAGGGCGUCCUUAGUGGAGAUAGCGUUUCCUGUAGAGCACUGAUAAGGAAGUAUGGGGAAGAAAUUCCUCGCUUCCCAUUCAAACUCCGAAGGGAUAUGCAUUGAAGAAGCUAGGAGACGGGUUCGUGUGACGUAAGGUUCACGACCGAGAGGGGUUUAACCCAGACCGAAGUUAAGGUCCCUAAAUUUUUUCUAAGUGUCAAGCUAAAGUGUGUGUUCGCGCCAAGACAGCAGGGAGGUAAGCUCAGAAGCAGCUAUCCUUUAAAAAGUGUGUAACAACUUACCUGCCGAGCGUGGGCGCCACAAAAACGGACGGGGCUAAAGCAAAGUACCGAUACUUUGGAUACAUGCCAAGGGGCAUGUCAUGGUAGGUUGGCGUAGUGAUUGGGUCGAAGCAGGGCGGUGACGUCCUGUGGACCAUUUUCUAUUGCAGAUCUUGGCGGCAGUAACAGCAUAGUAGAGUGAGAACCUCUACCACCGCAAGCGCAAGGGUUUCCAGGCAAUGCGUUAUCAGCCUGGAGUUAGUCGAUCCUAAGGAUUACCUCAACAGAGUAAUUCGAAAGGGAAACUGGUUAAUAUUCCAGUACCUUGCAAGUUGCGUUAUUAUCUAUAUGGACCGCUUCCGGAUAGGGAGAGCAUAACCAUCGUUGUGUCUAAGCGUUCGAGGGAUGGGGAGUGUCGUAAUGACGAGAACCAUUCCGAGGCGUUAAUGGCUCUGCGUUAGCAGAGUUCUCUUGAUUCCAGGGGACCUUGAAAAUCUGUGUAGAGAGCGACUUGUAAGUUCGUACCGAGAACCGACACAGGUGCGCUGGCUUAGAAAGCUAAGGUGCUACGGGUAUACCGUAUGGUGAGGGAAUUCGGCAAAUUAGUCCUGUAGCUUAGGUAUAAGGGAUGCCUGCACACUUCAUGAGGAAUGGGGUGAGCAGGUUGCAAUGACAAGGGGGUUUCGACUGUUUAAUAAAAACACAGGCGACUGCUAGUCCGAAAGGAUUUGUAUAGUCGCUGAAUCCUGGCCGGUGCGGGUACCUAAAACUUGGGUUCAACCGAGCUAAGGGCCCGUUAACGCCGGGAGUAACUCUGACUCUCUUAAGGUAGCCAAAUGCCUUGUCGGGUAAGUUCCGACGCGCAUGAAUGGAACAACGAGAGCCCCACUGUCCCCACCUACAACCCGGUGAAGCCACAUAAGGUGGACGAACAGUCCAUCAUCUUCCAUCGGGGAGAGAAGACCCCGUGGAGUUUUACUGCAGCUUGUGCUUGUAGUAUAGUAAAGAUUACAUAGUGUAUCUGGGAGCCAUGCCUCAUUUUCUUUGGGAAAUGAGUGAAGCAACGAUGUAACACCAGAUUAUUUUUGCAGUACUACUUACCCGGUGCAGACCGGGGACACGUGCAGGUGGGCAGUUCGGCUGGGGCGGCACCCCAUCCGUUGAAGAGGGCAAAGCCAAAAACUAGACUGACAGGAUUUCCAAACGCACGGAAUUCUGAGACGAAAGUCUGGCUUAGCGAUCCUUCGUGUGCCCACUAUUGGGGCCCGAAGGUGACAGAAAAAUUACCCCAGGGAUAACAGGCUCGUCGCGGGCGAGAGCUCCUAUCGACCCCGCGGUUUGGUACCUCGAUGUCGGCUUUUCCUAUCCUGGUCCUGCAGCAGGGGCCAAGGGUGAGGCUGCUCGCCUAUUAAAAGGGAACAUGAGCUGGGUUUAGACCGUCGUGAGACAGGUCGGUCUCUGCCUGAUGGAAGCGUCGCUGUCUGAGGGGAAGUUGCUCUUAGUACGAGAGGAACAGAGCAGCGUCGCCGCUGGUGUACCGGUUGUCUGAUAAGGCAGGCCGGGCAGCUAAGCGAUUUAGGUUAAGUGCUGAAAGCAUCUAAGCACGAAGCCUAUCCUGAGACAUGACAGCGUUACAUAAAGUUGAAGGUUCGCAGCAGAAGACUGCGUUGAUAGAAUGGUGGUGUAGAUCACAAGCUUCGGCGAGUGGUGAGCCAGCCAUUACUAAUAGACCAAAACAUCGGU